GUUUUUAAUUGCUUUCCUUAACUGCAGAUACCAUAUGUUGGCUUUAUAUUGUAAGCCUAUUGUUGGGAAAUCCACAUUUUGCACAGUCCCAAACUGUUUACAAAGGAUGUUUUGAAGUUACUACUGACAUGACAGGUUUGAUUACUCACGAUAGUUUAACCAUAGACAUUGGUAUAGAAGAGUGUUACAAACAAGGAUAUCAGUUCGCUGGCUUGCAGUAUGGCUCUCGCUAUUGGUGUAGCAAUGACAUUGCUUUUCUUAAUUCCAACCGACUAACCGAUGCCUCAUGUGAUAUGGAUUGUUCCGGUAACAACCAACAAAAAUGUGGCGGUGCGUGGCGAAGGUCUAUCUAUGCCAUAGGUAGGUAAAUUAAAAUCAUUGUCAUGUUGCUGGUGCUACGACGACCAAUUCCUCAAGGCUUAUAGGCCUAAAUAAGUUCAAUUUAUUCACUUAUUGCAUCAUCAGUAAAUUACAAGAAACAAAACAUGUAAAAUAAUGAAAAUAAAAAUGUCUAGAGAAAGUCAGA
rnacentral:misc_RNA from 1 species